AUAGCUCAUCUGGGAGAGCGCUUGAAUGGCAUUCAAGAGGUCAUGGGUUCGAAUCCCACUAUCUCCA
rnacentral:tRNA from 1 species